GGGAGGUAGAGCCAAGUCCCCUACUACUCCCGGACCUGAGAGCGUGGCACCGCCAGGAGGCUUUCCUUGGCCCGCAGAGUCAGGUGGGAGCAGCUGUGGACUCUUGCUGGGACUUCGAGCGUGGCGCCCUCCCCACAUCAGGCCUCGGUUUCCCCAUGUGUUCAGCAGCUGCUGUGUGUGCAGGGCAGAGGUUCUGAGGAAAACCGUGAGGCUGCAGGCUCAGCCCAGGAUGAUCCCAGCUCAAGGAUGAGAAGUGGAUGAAGGUCUGGGGUCUUGGGCCUGGUUUUCCUUUCAGCCACAAAAUAGGGCUCAUUUUGAGCUCUGGGCAGGUCGCCCAGGCAAGGCGGCCACUGACCGCCUGCCAUUCUCCAGCAGCUCCUCCCGUCUGCAAGUUGCAUUACCUCAUCAGGAAGCCAUUCCGGAAAGGAGCUGCAGAGUCCCAAGAGUGGGAGUGAAGAGGGCUUCCCAAGAGCCUCCUGACCACCCAGGAGCCCAGCCAGGGCAGACAGCAUAGCCCCGGUGGUGUUUGCCAGUGACCGCUGCAGCAGGGAGGUGCCCAGGCAGGAGGGACUGUCCGGCCUGAAGCCAGCAGCUUCCAGUAGUUCUCAGGCUCGUCUUCUGAGGCUGGAGGACCAGCAAUGGGUGAGGUGGACACCAGCACCGCCUCUGUGGACUUUACAAGGUGCUCAGACUUCAUUGGCUCAUCCCUUCAAGCUUCAGUGAACAGUAAGCAACAGCCAAUAUUGUGGAUGCCAAAGGGUGGGAAGUAAGUCUUGACCUGUGCAACUGUGUCCUCAUGCGAAAGAACUGUAUAAAAUGCUAUGACCAAGGCAAUUUAUAAAAGAAAGCAUUUCAUUGGGCUUACAGUUUCAGAGGGUUAGAGUUCAUGAUGAUGGAGCAAAGGCAUGAUGGAAAUCACAAGCAGGAAGCAGAGAGCACACUGGACUGACAUGAGUCUUUGGGAACCUCCAACAUACCUCCAACAAAGCCACACCUCCCAAUCCUUCCCAAACAGUUCCACCAACUGAGAAUCAAAUAUUCAAGCAUAUGAGCCCAUGGGGGCCAUUCACAAUCAAACCACUGCAAGGACCAAGAGGGUUACUUAGGUCCAGGAAUUACUAUUGACUGGCUCCUCUAGCCAUCUCUACAUCCUUAGGCUUUGUUGAAUGUGAGGUUCCAGUUCUAGCAGGGGGAUUUAUCUACCAGGUUAUAGUCAGUCCACUCAUCUGAGGUCCCAACUACAGCCACACAGAUGUGUCUCGUGUGCUCAAUUCCACUAUAGAUGACAAAAGAUGAGCUUCGAAUUUAGAUAACCUUAAGUGUCAUGAGGAAAGCACACACUCUGAUGUGACAGGGGUGUCUAGUCCACAAUGUCUCUUGAUCAUCCUGGCCUCCUGGUUCUUGCAAUGAGAGAGGCAGAAACGAAAAUCAACACAUAGGAUGCUGAGCCUGAUUCUCAAGAAGAGCUGGGCUUGUGGGCAGGGAUGAGUCAGACACAGAACCAGGAACUCACACCAGUGCCUCUUGUUUUCAGCAUAGUGAUAGGUAUGAGCAACCAUGGGUAGCCAAAGUAAUGAGACAGAGAGCUCAGCAUCCCCGAGACAGAGAACCGGGGCCCCACAGCCCAGUCAACAGACAAGAUCCCUAUGUGAUAAGGGGGGGCAGAGUCCUGCAGCUCAGCCAUUAGAUUGACUCUUCCUGGAAUAAAGGGACAGGCACCCACAACCACUCCCCCAGAACAACUGAGCUGCUUGUCUGGAAUAUAUGGUGUCCAUCACGGCCUCUGAUCUGGUGUCAUCAUGGGAACUCUAGCUGCUGGUCACUACCUCCAAGGUGGCACAGUGCCUCCCAGAGGCACAAGCAGAUAAGACUGAUGAAGGAAGUGGCUUGCAGUGGACAGCUCAUGCUCACUUAGGCCUUUCGAUCCCAACCCAGCUACAACCUCCACAAUCAGUCCCACAGGGACUUUAGCUAGUGAGGGCCGAGUGCAACUAGACUUUCUUCCCUUGGGCCUAUGGUGGCCAUCUCUGACUUCCCGUCCUGGUGACCCUCCAAAGACAAAACUGAAAUGCUGGUAGGAUCUACACUGCACUUAGACUCACCCAGCAUGGAACUGUAGGGAUGUCAAUGUGUAUGUACAUGUGUUCAUGUAUGUGUUUACAUGUGUUCAUGUAUGUGUAUGUCAACAUCAGUGUAUUCUUCAAUCUCUCUCCACCUACUUUUUUGAGACAGCAUCUCCUACUGAACCCAUAGCUUUUAGUUUAGCUAAAUUAACUGGAUAGCAAAUCACUAGUAUCCUCCUGUGUCUGCCUCCUCAGGGGUAGGAUUACAGGCACAAACUACCAUACCCCCAUUGGUAUUUGUUUGUUUGCUUUGUAUGUGGAUAUAUGUAUGUAGGUGUGUGCAGACUUCAAAAGGUAUCAGAUCUCCUGAAGCUGGAGUUAGAGUCAGCCAUAUAGGCACAGGAGUUGGGAAACAGACUUGGGUCCCCUGGGAGAAAUUUUAACCUCUGAGCUGUCUCUCUACCCUCCCCCAUCCCCAGCUUUUUACAUGGGUUCUGGGGACCUGAAUUCAAGCCCUCAUGUUUCUGUGGCCAACACUUUGCUGACUAAACCAUUUCUUCAACUCCUUAAGUUGCUUUUUGCUGGAUGUUUGGACAGAGAGAUGAUUAAAAAUAACCAAUAUAAGGGGUAAUCCUCCUGCCUCAGGGACUGACCUAAUAAAGCAUCCUUGAUUUGGUUUUCCUUGGACUCUCACCCCUGACCAAAAGCCCAAAGGCUAGUCUGUCUCAAGCUGUGCUUCCAAGGAAAGAUGUCUAAGGUGUGUGCCAUCCUAGAAACAACAGGAAAUGAAAACUGUCAUCAGUGUUGGGAAGGGAUGGUCUUGAACUUGUACCUGUGCUGUUCAGUAGGGUAGCUAUUGGCCAGGCCAUAGGUGGACUUCAGUGUGAUGGUGAUUUACAUUAAGGUAAAAUGAGGGUGGAGGGGAUGGCUCAGCAGGAAAGCACUUAUCACACAAGCCUGAUGACCUGAGAUCGAUGGCCUGGAGCCCAUGCACAAAGCUGGAUGUCGUGGCAUGCAUCUGUAAUCCCAACACCCCUGGUAAGCUGGGAAGCAGAGACGAACAUAACCGGGAAGCUCUGGAGUCAGCCAGGCUGGAGUGUAGCCUAGAAGCAGGAAGACAGGAGAGACCCUGCCUCAGUCGACUCUGUAAAGUUGUCAUCUGACAUCUACAUGUGCACUCUGGCCCACGAGUACACACAUACACCAUUUCCAUUCCCAAUCUUUGCUCUUCCCUCCCCUAUUCCCCCCUCUCUCACACACACACUCACUCACACACACACACACACACACACACACACAAAUUUUGGUUAAAAGUGAAAUGAAAUAAGAUAAAAAAUUAAUUUCCCUGGUCAUACAUUUCAUGGAUUUAGUAGUCAUAUGAGCUGAUAGUGGCUGCUUUGGGGGCAGCAAAAAGAGCAUUUGGGUCACCACAAAACACUCUUCUGGAUAAGUUGCUCUGGACUAUUUGGACCAGUGCCUGUUGCUUCAUGCUGGAUUGCAAAUACUAGAGUCACUAUCUGUCAAGUUUGAUUCUCUGUCCCCUGAAAGGGGCACAGAUGCCAGAUAGGAAGUACAGAUACUAGGAAGAAGGAAGGGAAAAGGAGACUGGCAUCUGACUGUGUGUUAGGUAGCUGUUGGCAUUUGCGGAACACUUACUGCAUGCCUGAUGCCAUCCCAGACCCUCACCCUGUUGCCUACUAGUUCCUCACCAAGCUAUGGCUGUCAUCUGAGUCUACAGAGGAGUAAAUCAAAGCUGGGGAGGUGAGCCACUUGCCUAGGGCUAAUCACGGUUCACUAGCUACAGCACUGGUUUCUUAGUCUUUCCUGACAAGGGCAAAACAUUGUGUCCAUGCUUCCUGCACUCUCUCCUGGAUAGGAGAGGCUCCCAGGCCUUGCUGCUGUUACCCCUGGGACAACUGAGCCAGAGACCCAGGCCUAUGGUGUGGCAGCUAAGGGAGAUGUCAUGCCGUUGCCUCCAUAAGGCUCGCCAGUGGUGUCAAAGACCCAAAGUGUUACGUGAACUGGUCCAGAUGAACCAGCCUGUCAACACACUGAGGGCUUGAGCGACCAACCCCCUAACCAUGCUUGGGGGAUGCUUUUCAGUUCUAGACAGGUUGCAACAUGUGUCCAGCCACACUGGGGCUCCCUGUUGCUUUGAUGCUGUGCCUACUGUGAGCACUCAGCCUGGCACCUGAACCAAUCAGGCACACAGCAGUCCCUACACAGACUAUGCUCUAUACGCCAGCUAUGUUGGAUGUCACAAGGACACAGACAGAAUCGUGCUCGCAACUGCUGUGCCGUUCACCGGACUCUGGCUUUGGGAAUCAGAAUCACACCGCCUGUCUCCCAAGAGGCCAAAUGCUCCUCAAAGCUGAGACUCUUGAGAUUGAACUCAUGUCUCCAGGGAAGCAAGCCACUCACCUGUCCCUUUUGCUUUCUGUCUCCUAUCCCAAACUUGUCCUGUCCCUGAGCCCCACAGACCCUUGUUAGCACUGCUGGGGAUGGAAGCUAGGGCCUUGCCAGAGCCCAGUGCUGACUCCACACAGGCUCCAUCCAUGAUGUCAGGACCACUGGAGUCCUCAGAAUCUAUGCGAUGUCCUGGGUCACAUAACCCAGCUCCUCCUCAUGUGAGAUCUCCAGGCAUCCAAGCGCCCAAUCCCUGUGCUAGGGUUAGAGGUAGGGUUAGGGCUGACUUUAGGUUAGGACUACGUUUGGAGUUUAUUUUAGCAUUAAGACUAGGGUUAGAGCCAAUGUUUGGGUCAUGUUCAGGGCUUUGUUUUGUUCUGGGGUUGAGGUUAUGGAUAGGGUUAGAGCUAGGUUUAUGUAAUGGUUAUGGUUAGCACUAGGGUUGGGAUUAUGAUUGAUGCCUGGGCUAAGGUUAUGGCUAGGAUUGUUGUGUGGUUAGUUGUAGGUUUAAGGUAAGGUUAGAGGUAGUCCUAGGAUUAGCAUUGGGUCUAAACUUACACCUAGAGCUCAGGGAUUAUGAUUAUGGUCACAGCAAAGGUUAGGAUUAGAACUGAAUUUAGGAAUAGUGCCUGAUGCAGCAUUGUGGUGUGAGAUACAUUUGGUUUAUGGUUAGUCUUAGUCCUAGUUUUAGUGUGUGGGCUAGAUGUAGGAUUAGGGUUAUGGUUUUGGGUAGGGUCUGAUUAGGGUCAUUGUAGUGUUAGGGUUAGGACUAAGCUUAGGUUUGGGAUUGGGUUUGUGCAGUGUUCCCUUUCCUACAGAUCCUCUUUUCACAAGUACUCCUCCUUCCUCUAGAAUGCUCGCUGUGCUCCCUUGCAGUUUCCCCUCAGAUGGAGCAUCCUCAGUUCUCUUCUAUCUUGGUGGAAUUUACUGACCCUUGCAGGAAAAUUCCUGGGCCAUCCAUCCAGUGCUGGCCACACUCCCCACCGCACCAUGCCUCCUCAGCUCACUAGCUGCCCUUGUCCAUUCCUCUCCACCUCUUCUGCCCCUUCGCAAAGCCUGAACCCGCCAAGGGCCAUGCCCACACAUGAGUCUUUCAUAAUCCCUGGCCCCAAGGAUACCUCAGCAAAUCAUCUACAGGAAGCCAGGACACAAUGCCCUCACUAAGGUGACCUGACAUGUGCAAUCCCGUCCCUAGAAGCUCGUAGGGCCAUGUGUGGUGCACGCCUUUAAUCCCAGCACUUGUGUGGCAGAAGCAGGCAGAUCUCUGACUUUAAGGCCAGUCUGGUCUACAUAGAGAUUCUCAGGUCAGCUAGAGUCAGAUAAUGGGGCCCUGGAUGGCAGUUUGAAUGAGGAUGGUCCCAAUAGGCUCAUAUGUUUGAAUUCUUGGUCCCAAAUUGGUGGAACUCUUUGGGAAGGAUUAGAAGGUGUGGCCUUGUUGGAGGAGGUGUGUCACUGGGGGGUGGGCUUAAGGUUUCAAAAGCCCCUUGCCAUUCCCAGUGUGCUCUGUGCCUGAUGACCAUGGUUUUGAAAUGUGAGCUCUUAGCCUUGAAUCUCACACCCUCACUCACCAUCAUGGACUCUAACCCUCUGAAGCCAUAAGCCCCAAAUAAACUCUUUUAUACAUG